UCGGGAAUUUUGCGCAAUGGACGAAAGUCUGACGCAGCAACGCCGCGUGAGGGAUGACGGCCUUCGGGUUGUAAACCUCUUUUGUCAGGGACGAUGAUGACGGUACCUUACGAAUAAGCCACGGCUAACUACUUGCCAGCAGCCGCGGUAAUACGUAGGUGGCAAGCGUUGUCCGGAUUUACUGGGCGUAAAGAGCGCGCAGGCGGUCGUUCAAGUCGCGUGUGAAAGCCCCCGGCUCAACUGGGGAGGGUCACGCGAUACUGAUCGAGUCGAAGGCAGGAGAGGGUAGUGGAAUUCCCGGUGUAGUGGUGAAAUGCGUAGAUAUCGGGAGGAACACCAGUGGCGAAGGCGACUACCUGGCCUGUUCUUGACGCUGAGGCGCGAAAGCUAGGGGAGCAAACGGG
rnacentral:rRNA from 1 species